GGGCGAAUAGCUCAGCUGGGAGAGCGCUACCCCGACACGGUAGAGGUCAUCGGUUCGAGCCCGGUUUCGCCCA
rnacentral:tRNA from 1 species